GAAAACGUGAGGCAACACUAAAGACGGAGGUUGUAUAACAGUAUUUUGAAGUGAAUAUUUCGUUUUCAUUUAGUUUUUUGCUGUUAGAACCGCGGAACGUCGGAGGUUUGGAGUUGCUUGGAGUUCUUUUCUGGCGGUUACCGUCAUCUGAAGAAACUGGUCACUGCAACUCCAGCAGAUGCAGAGAGAAGCCUCUCUCUGCCCAGUACCCCAAGACUGAUUGCACUUGGUUCAUUCUGAGAAUAAACCCUGAUGGCACCAAAUGCCUAAAUCACAAAAUCAAAAUCACAGAUCAGCCGGGCAUCUGGAAAAAGGGUGCAGAGAAAAAUCGCCAGCC